rnacentral:rRNA from 1 species
UGGCGGCGAUAGCGCGGUGGUCCCACCUGACCCCAUGCCGAACUCAGAAGUGAAACGCCGUAGCGCCGAUGGUAGUGUGGGGUCUCCCCAUGUGAGAGUAGGGAACUGCAGGCAUC